GCGGCCAGGCCAGCCGGUGGGGGCCCCACAGGUUGCGCUCCUGGGAGCCACCUGGACAAUGAUGACAAUUCUAGAGCACUUGUUUUGUGCCAACAGACAACUUACAAUGCUGCUGCACAAUUCAGGCUGCGGAAAAGAUGAACCACGGGGGCAGUAGAUCAUGCCUGGGGGCCAUGCCAGGAGAACUUACGAGAAGCGAGACCAGCCAAGACAAGCCGCCCAUCCCGCCACACAGACGGAGAACAUGGCUGCACCGGUGAGGACAUGUGCAUUUCACGGCUGACGUGCUAAAGAAGCUGGCCGCAGAGCACACCGGCACGCUGUCGCCGCAAUGGUGGCACGUCAAAAUUUGCAGGAGACUCUAAAUAAACAUAAC